UGUGUGUGUACUGGUGGGAGGCUCGCUUGCUUGUUUGCUUUGUGCUGCUAAGUCACGUGACGGCACACCAGUGAAACACAAGAGGGAGGAGGAGGAGCAAAGGUCUGCCUGCUCUCCGCUGAGAUAGAAACGGCGAGACCGGCGACCUGGCUGUCGCUUACUUGACGAAACCGAAGCAGUGCAUACAAGAGCAAAACUGAAAAUACUUUAUUGAUAUUUUCCCGCUACUUUCAAUAAGAUACUGAUACUGACUUGGUAUCAAUACUAUUGAUAUUUGGAUCGAUCCCCCCACCACUAAUGCCAGGGAAACAGAAUGGAGAGAAAGACAAUAGCUAUGGCAUCGGCAUUUUAGGAGUGGUAGCAAGAAGAAGCCAGCUGAGCUCAACAGUUAAACUCAGAGAGUGAGAAACAGAGGAGGAACCCCCAGACACAUGCUCCUUCUCUGUUCCCCGCCUUGCUGACUUCUUCCACCACACCACCAAGCCAUCCACCUGCUCACGCCACCGCC